rnacentral:rRNA from 1 species
CCUACGGGAGGCAGCAGUGGGGAAUAUUGCACAAUGGGGGGAACCCUGAUGCAGCAACGCCGCGUGGGUGAAGAAGUACUUCGGUAUGUAAAGCUCUGUCAGCAGGGAAGAAAAUGACGGUACCUGACCAAGAAGCCCCGGCUAACUACGUGCCAGCAGCCGCGGUAAUACGUAGGGGGCAAGCGUUAUCCGGAUUUACUGGGUGUAAAGGGAGCGUAGACGGCAAUGCAAGUCUGGAGUGAAAGCCCGUGGCUCAACCACGGGACUGCAUUGGAAACUGUGUUGCUGGAGUGCAGGAGGGGUAAGCGGAAUUCCUAGUGUAGCGGUGAAAUGCGUAGAUAUUAGGAGGAACACCAGUGGCGAAGGCGGCUUACUGGACUGUAACUGACGUUGAGGCUCGAAGGCGUGGGGAGCAAACAGGAUUAGAUACCCCAGUAGUC